ACAAUGAAGAGUUUGAUCCUGGCUCAGGAUGAACGCUAGCUACAGGCUUAACACAUGCAAGUCGAGGGGCAGCAUUUUAGUUU
rnacentral:rRNA from 1 species